GGGGGUGUAGUUUAAAUUGGUAAAACUACGAAUUUGCACUUCGUUGUUUCAGGUUCAAUUCCUGACGUCUCCA